GACGUAGGGGGCGAGCGUUGUCCGGAUUUAUUGGGCGUAAAGAGCUCGUAGGCGGCUCGUUGCGUCGGCUGUGAAAACCCGCAGCUCAACUGUGGGCUUGCAGCCGAUACGGGCGGGCUGGAGUUCGGUAGGGGAGACUGGAAUUCCUGGUGUAGCGGUGAAAUGCGCAGAUAUCGGGAGGAACACCAGUGGCGAAGGCGGCUUUCUGGUCUGCUCUUGACGCUGAGGCGCGGAAAGCUAGGGUAGCAAACGGGAUUAAGA
rnacentral:rRNA from 1 species